GAUGAACGCUAGCGGCAGGCUUAACACAUGCAAGUCGAGGGGUAGAGGUUGCUUGCAACCUUGAGACCGGCGCACGGGUGCGUAACGCGUAUGCAACCUACCUUUUACAGAGGGAUAGCCCAGAGAAAUUUGGAUUAAUACCUCAUAGUAUAUAACCUUCGCAUGUUGGUUAUAUUAAAGUUCCAACGGUAAAAGAUGGGCAUGCGUCCUAUUAGCUAGAUGGUAAGGUAACGGCUUACCAUGGCAACGAUAGGUAGGGGUCCUGAGAGGGAGAUCCCCCACACUGGUAAUGAGACACGGACCAGACUCCUACGGGAGGCAGCAGUGAGGAAUAUUGGACAAUGGGCGCAAGCCUGAUCCAGCCAUGCCGCGUGCAGGAAGAAGCAUCUAUGGUGUGUAAACUGCUUUUGUACAGGAAGAAACACCCCGACGUGUCGGGACUUGACGGUACUGUAAGAAUAAGGAUCGGCUAACUCCGUGCCAGCCGCCGCGGUAAAAC
rnacentral:rRNA from 1 species